rnacentral:rRNA from 1 species
UACGUAGGGUGCAAGCGUUAAUCGGAAUACUGGGCGUAAAGCGUGCGCAGGCGGUUUUGUAAGUCUGUCGUGAAAGCCCCGGGCUCAACCUGGGAAUUGCGAUGGAGACUGCAAGGCUUGAAUCUGGCAGAGGGGGGUAGAAUUCCACGUGUAGCAGUGAAAUGCGUAGAGAUGUGGAGGAACACCGAUGGCGAAGGCAGCCCCCUGGGUCAAGAUUGACGCUCGAUGCACGAAAGCGUGGGGAGCAAACAGG